GUGCCAGCCGCCGCGGUAAUACCGGCAGCUCAAGUGAUGUCCCAUAUUAUUGGGCCUAAAGCGUCCGUAGCUGGCCGCACAAGUCCGUCGGUAAAUCCGCCCGCUCAACGGGCGGCCGUCCGGCGGAACCUGUGUGGCUUGGGACCGUGAGGCCUGAGGGGUACGAUCGGGGUAGGAGUGAAAUCCUGUAAUCCCGCACGGACCACCGAUGGCGAAAGCACUUCGAGAAAACGGAUCCGACAGUGAGGGACGAAAGCCAGGGUCUCCAACCGGAUUAGAAACCCUAGUAGUCC
rnacentral:rRNA from 1 species